rnacentral:rRNA from 1 species
GACGAACGCUGGCGGCGUGCUUAACACAUGCAAGUCGAACGGAAAGGCCCUGCUUUUGUGGGGUGCUCGAGUGGCGAACGGGUGAGUAACACGUGAGUAACCUGCCCUUGACUUUGGGAUAACUUCAGGAAACUGGGGCUAAUACCGGAUAGGAGCUCCUGCUGCAUGGUGGGGGUUGGAAAGUUUCGGCGGUUGGGGGUGGACUCGCGGCUUAUCAGCUUGUUGGUGGGGUAGUGGCUUACCAAGGCUUUGACGGAUAGCUGGCUUGAGAGGGUGACCGGCCACAUUGGGACUGAGAUACGGCACAGACUCAUACGGGAGGCAGCAGUGGGGAAUAUUGCACAAUGGGCGGAAGCCUGAUGCAGCAACGCCGCGUGCGGGAUGACGGCCUUCGGGUUGUAAACCGCUUUCGCCUGUGACGAAGCGUGAGUGACGGUAAUGGGUAAAGAAGCACCGGCUAACUACGUG